rnacentral:rRNA from 1 species
AUUGAACGCUGGCGGAAUGCUUUACACAUGCAAGUCGAACGGCAGCACGGGGGCAACCCUGGUGGCGAGUGGCGAACGGGUGAGUAAUACAUCGGAACGUGCCCAGUCGUGGGGGAUAACGUAGCGAAAGUUACGCUAAUACCGCAUACGAUCUACGGAUGAAAGCGGGGGACCGUAAGGCCUCGCGCGAUUGGAGCGGCCGAUGUCAGAUUAGGUAGUUGGUGAGGUAAAGGCUCACCAAGCCGACGAUCUGUAGCUGGUCUGAGAGGACGACCGGCCAGACUGGGACGGAGACACGGCCCAGACUCCUACGGGAGUCAGCAGUGGGGAAUUUUGGACAAUGGGCGCAAGCCUGAUCCAGCCAUUCCGCGUGCAGGACGAAGGCCUUCGGGUUGUAAACUGCUUUUGUACGGAACGAAAAGGCUCUGGUUAAUACCUGGGGCUCAUGACGGUACCGUAAGAAUAAGCACCGGCUAACUACGUGCCAGCAGCCGCCGUAA